GAUGAACGCUGGCGGCGUGCCUAACACAUGCAAGUCGAGCGAUCUUCUUCGGAAGAGAGCGGCGGACGGGUGAGUAACGCGUGGGUAACCUGCCCUGUACACACGGAUAACAUACCGAAAGGUAUGCUAAUACGAGAUAACAUAAGAAAUUCGCAUGUUUUUCUUAUCAAAGCUCCGGCGGUACAGGAUGGACCCGCGUCUGAUUAGCUAGUUGGUGUGGUAACGGCUCACCAAGGCGACGAUCAGUAGCCGACCUGAGAGGGUGAUCGGCCAAAUUGGAACUGAGACACGGUCCAAACUCCUACGGGAGGCAGCAGGGGGGAAUAUUGCACAAUGGGCGAAAGCCUGAUGCAGCAACGCCGCGUGAGCGAUGAAGGCCUUCGGGUCGUAAAGCUCUGUCCUCAAGGAAGAUAAUGACGGUACUUGAGGAGGAAGCCCCGGCUAACUACGUGCCAGCAGCCGCGGUAA
rnacentral:rRNA from 1 species